GCCAUUGCUCAGCGGUAGAGCAUCUGCUUUGCAUGUGGAGGGCCCCAGGUUCAGUCCCUGCCAUCUCCU